ACAAAUUCCAGGGAUUAUUUACUGCAGCAGCAGCAGCAGCAGUUUACAGGGACCGCCAUCUUCUCUUCCACCUCCAACACCCCCCCACCACUUUCCCAGGUGAAAUGGCAAAAUUUUCCCAACCAAAAAACGCAUAGUAAAAACCAAUCGGGUAAAUGAUCUUGCGACCGAUCGAAUGGACACGGAACAUGGGUGUGUCUCUGACGGGCCUUUGUUCGGUUUCAGGCCUUCAAUGCGGUGUUCUUGCAGAUGGGGCACACGUUCUUCACCACCAGCCAUUGCUUGAUGCAGCCAGCAUGGAAGUCGUGCCCGCAGUCCAGCCUCC
rnacentral:lncRNA from 1 species